UUCGUGGAAUAUACAGAACCACCUGCAACUUUUAAGUAAAACAAUUCAAUAAUAAGGAAAAUGCUGAACACCAGGUUCCAGCACCACAAAACCUCUUUUCCACAGUUAUUAUGAAGCUUCAUUCUUCUUGAACAAAUGGCAACAAGAAAAUCCAAGUGUUGAUUCACUUGAGAAAACUACCAAAGUACUGCAAAACAUUUCAGCGUCAAACAUCUUGCUGACUAAUUAGAAAAAACACGCAGUAAGCUCACAAACAUGUAAAUCCCUACUUAACUACUUUUUCCUAGGAACUCCUAGCAAAAAGAGUGAAUGCUUUUCUCCAUUGCUCACAAAUUUUACAACAGUAAUUUGGAAUAGAGCUGCAGUCAUUGUGACAUCAGAACUAGCUCUAUGGCAGAUUCCCUCUCAACUCAUAGAUACCCUACAAGAACACAGAAAUCAGGAAACUUGAGAAGGAAUCUUCUGGAUGAAUCUUGGGCCGCCUUAUUUCUUCCCAGUUUCUGCUACUCAAAUGAUUAGAGGUGACAUCAACGAUUGAUCUUCAUGUCUGAGAAUAAUCACUAUGAAUAGGACUGAAAUGCAACUGUGAUGGAAUGUAGCCUGGAUUCUCAGGAACUCUGCAUUGAAUAUAGAGGAUAACCCUGAGGGAGAGAAGGAAAAUCUGUUACCAAAACCACAGUCAGAUGAAUGAGGCUUGAGCCCAGACCAAAAACAUGGUUUAUGAAAAUGACUCCUCAGAUAUGAAGAUAAGAGGGAAGAAGGGAAGCAUGUUCAGACUUGUAAGUUUCUUUUACUGUAACCCUAUAAUAAAAGUAGUAUUAGUAACUUUGGCUUCCUAGCCCAGUCUGCCUUUGCAAGAUUUUAUGACUAUAGCUGUUCUAAUAAAAGAAGCUUUAGAUCUACAUGGUGUGUGUUUCAUAGUCUGACCAAUUCAUAUAGGAUUGAAAAUUAACAUUAAAUCAACAAUCA